AAAGUCUCGAAAGUAAGCGCCCCCUCGAAAGUAAGCGCCCCUCGAAAGUAAGCGCCUUUUUCAACACUUGCUAGAGAAUCUGGAAAGUAAGCGCUCUUCGACAGUAAGCGCCCCUUGAGGCCACUAAUUUCGAAAUUAAGCAGGGCGCUUACUUUCGAGACUUUACGGUAUUAGUGUUAGAUACCGGUCAUAUCUAAGUAAAAGUUCUUAAAUUAAAGAAACUCUCUAAUCCAUAUGUAUACCAUAUAUACUCUAUAGCAUGGAUUUAAAAAUGGCCGAUGCUGAAAAUAGCAACUCGAAAG